GAUGAACGCUAGCUAUAGGCUUAACACAUGCAAGUCGAGGGGAAACGGCAUUAUGUGCUUGCACAUUUUGGACGUCGACCGGCGCACGGGUGAGUAUCGCGUAUCCAACCUGCCCUUUACUUGGGGAUACCCCGUUGAAAGACGGCCUAAUACCCGAUGUAAUUCAUUGAUGGCAUCAGAUAUGAAUAAAAGAUUUAUCGGUAAAGGAUGGGGAUGCGUCUGAUUAGCUUGUUGGUGAGGUAACGGCUCACCAAGGCGACGAUCAGUAGGGGUUCUGAGAGGAAGGUCCCCCACAUUGGAACUGAGACACGGUCCAAACUCCUACGGGAGGCAGCAGUGAGGAAUAUUGGUCAAUGGGCGCAAGCCUGAACCAGCCAAGUAGCGUGCAGGAAGACGGCCCUAUGGGUUGUAAACUGCUUUUAUACGAGAAUAAUUUGAUGCACGUGUGCGUUAUUGCAUGUAGCGUAUGAAUAGGGACCGGCUAAUUCCGUG
rnacentral:rRNA from 1 species